UUUUUAUAAUUAGUCCAGGUAUAUUUCCCCCUUUUGGCGAAGGAGCGUGAUGCAGGUCCACCAGACACCCUUUGAUUGAGGAGGGUAUUUUUGGGAGUUGCAGUGUUGUGCAGAAGAUCAUGUCUGUGCCCUGUGGUGCUGUCAGCUGUGACAGAUCCCAGAUGCAGCCGCUACUGUAUGGCAGAUUGAGUUUCUCAGCAGAAAACUCUCUCCCUCCCUCCUAAACGUCUUCAAAAACCUUCUCCAGAUACUGCAGGUCACUUCGGCUGAAUCGGGAAAAGUUGAACAAAAGUUUUCCUUUCGCUUCUUCUCUCUGGCUCUCUCCGCUAGGGAGCCUCCCUCUGGUCCCAGCCCUGGGUGCCAACUGUGGGCCUGCCAGGCUGUCCCCGGCCGCUUGUGACCACAACAAGCCCCGCUGCUCUGCUAAUGGGAACAGAGGUUGGCAAGAAGGACAGAGAACCCGCAGAUAAGGUGUCUAUUGCAAUAUCAGCUGUCACACAAUGAAAACGGAUACUGCUAUUAGUAAUUUGCAAAGGAAAAUCUACACAUUUUUUGCAGUUUGAUUUCUGCUCUGAAUAUACGGGAUUGGAUUUUCAGAAGUGGUCAGAGCUGGCCCUCAUGUACUUUGAUGGGAGUAGACUUAAGUCAACAUUGUGGCUCCUGCAACACCACCAGUCUUCAGAUGUGCAACAUAGAUUGUACCCACUUCAAACAAUCUAAAACCUCGUUUAUAAUUUUUCAUACAAGGGGCCUCACUUUAAAACAAGCGCUGCAGGCAAGAAGGUAUGUGGCACACAUCUUCGGUUCCCUUGGUGGACAAGAAAGGACUACAACACAAACACAUCUAAUGUGAUAAGUUCCAAGACGACUAGUCUCAUCAGAACAACUACCACCACAGCUGACACUAGACAGACACUUGCUGGCCAUCUCAUACAAAGGCCUGUCACAUAUCCUGGGCGGCAGGAAGCAGAGGAUGUCAAAUAAUAGACUUCUUCUCUAGGUAAGUACAGUUUCAUGAAGGGAUUUUUGUUUGGUUAUUUUUAAAAUAAAAGUCUCCUCACCGUGAAAGUAAGGCUGAAUAAUAAACACAAGUGAGACACUAUCGUGUGCUGAGGAAUACAUACAAAGAGCUGGCUCUCACCUCUCAAUGGGUGAAACACUGACUCUCCUAUUCCUUCCAAAGCUAAACCCAGAUUGUGUCUCUGAGUGAAGUCAACUAUAUACACUAGCUCCACCUCUAAUAACCAGAAACCUGACCAUGAUAGGGGUCGGUUUUAUAAAUAAUCUCUUCCAUAUUUGAAUUGAGAGAGAAGCUGUGGAUCAGAUAAGGUUUUUAAAUUUACAGAAAGGAGACAACAAGGAAAGGAAAAGGAGGAAAAUAUGGGGGCCAUGCUAGGAAAUAAUGUUGACCUCUCCCCCCCAUUCAAUUUACCAUAUCCCAAAUUAGGGACUGGUCCAAUGUCCAUUGAAAUUAUGGAUCUCUUUGCAGUCACUUCAAUGGGCAUUGAUAUAGAUCCUCAGGCCUUGUCUACACUACAAGGGGAGAUUGAUCAAAGUUAUGCAACUUCAGCUAUGUUAUUCAUGGAGCUGAAUUCUAUGUACUUACAUCUACUUACUGUGGGGUCCACACUAUGCUAUGUCGACGGGAGACACUCUCCUGUUGACUCCCCUUGUUCUUCUCAUUCAAGUAGAGUACAGGACUCACGGGAGAGCGAUCUGUGGUCGAUUUAGCGGGUCUUCACUAGACCCACUACAUCGACCACUCAUGCAUCGAUCGCUGUGUGUCAAUUCCCCAGUAAGUGUAGACAAGCCCUAGAGAGUAAUGGGGAAAGAAUUGGGACGGGGAAGGAGAACAAAAACAAAAGACAAAACAGAACUUUCCCUUGGAUCUUUCUAGGACAGGAACUACUUCAUGUCCUUGUAACAGGGCAAGCUCCUCUCCCACCCUCAGGUCCCUCACAAACAGUCUUGGAGACCUCUUGAUUGUCAAUACGUCUGUGUGUUUUUAUUUGUUACCUCCAUCAAGCCACCAUCACAAUCCCUAUGCAGUUCUUGUAUCUACAGUGUCCUUCAAUCCUCAGCCCUAUCUCCAAGAAGAGCCAGCACUCUCACCAGCCAGAGCUCUGACUUCUCUUCAAAUCUGCUAACCCUCUCUCUUCCCUUUGCACUGCCUUCCUGUGCUUUUUAAUUACCUUCUCAGGCUAAUUAGGCCCUUAGCUCAUUAAGUCUUCCACCCCUCAACCAGGGCUUCUCUAGGCGAACUAAUUAGUGCCUAAGUGACCAGAGGGCAGGAUCAGUUGCUGGCUCUAGGAGGUCAGUGUUAGGGUUUGUUGGCAAGAGACUGGGAGACUCACAUAGUUACUGACCAUGUUGUACCUGUUGUGAGAAUAAUACAGUAGAACCCUAAUUUUAUGAACUAAUUGGGGAUUGAAUUCAUAGAAUUGAAAAGUUCAUAAAAUCGAACCUUUCAAAAUUACAAUAGGUACAGUGCAUAAAUUAAUUGAUCAGUUGUUUGGUUAGAGUGUACAUAAUACAUGGUAACAAACAUACGCAGUAUGCCUGAUUUUAAUUUGUUUGAGAGAACUGUCUCUCCGGUCUUUGCUACCAAAUUUCUCAGUCCUUUGAAACCUGUGAUUGAAGGUUGACUGAAGAAAGGAAGUCAAUUCUGGCAACAGGAAGAGGAUUUUGGUGGAAGAAAAAUGGUUCAUGUAACUGGUCAUUCGUAAGAAUGAUGUUCAUAAAAUCAGUGUUCUACUGUAUUUCCAGUCCUGGAAUGCUUUCUUGUAGAGGAAGAGAAAAGUAAAACAGAACUCAUUACUAGCCAUGGGUGAAAUGGAGACUAUAAAGAAGAACAGUCAAAGGAUCUGAUCCUUCCUGUGGUUGGAGAGCCUUGCUCUCUGCCCACUCUGCAGUAUGGCAAAUCCCAUUGCCCAAAGGCGUGGAGCAUCCAGAACUCCACAGCUUCAAGCCUCCAGAUUAUUCUCAGUAACUUGCCCCCUUCCUGUGUGUGUUUCUGUGCACUAGGGAAUAGCAUGGCCCUGUGUAAAAAGGAUUGUCUAAGGCUGCACGAAAUCCUCUCUCAUUGUCAUUCUACACCACUAACUGCCUGCAGAAGAAGAAAAUCAGAAACAAAGCGAGGAGAUAAAAUGAGCAGAGUGAGACUGUAAAAAGCCACCUCUUCACUCUGAUGUGGGUUUUCUUCCUCACUAAAGGCUCCCUAUACCCUUCCACUCUAAGUAAAGCACCUGGCAAGUGCAUGCUCUGCAGAUGGCCCAGCACCCGUGCACACAGAGAACAGCCCUGUGUAUCUGGCAUGUAGCUGUUUCAGUUUCUUUCUGCCAGCCCACAGAAGCUUUCCCCCCUCUUCUGCUCCCUUUGUGGUCAGCCUUAUCCUCUGAGAUGUAAACUAGAAAAGCAGAUGUGUAAUCUGGGAAAUUUUCAAACAUUCAGCUUGUAAAGAGCAAGGUAGAUGAACUAAGCUCUUUAAGAGUUCGAUUCAGGAAAAUACUUAAGCAUGUGCUUAAGUCCCAUUGACUUAGGGAAGGCAAAAGAGACUAGUAACUUCAGUGGGUCUUAAGCACGUGCUUAGGUGUCCUUCCUGACUAGAGAUGCCUACCUGAGUCAGGGCCCAAGUUUGUAAUGAUACCACUGUGGAACUGAAAAAGAACUUAGAGUGCUUACUGGAUAGUGGGUAAGUCAGGUAGAACUCCACUCUAGGACAGCAUUUAAGCACACUUGUAAAUUCAUAGUUUUACAGUCAAAAGAGAUCAGUAUGAUCACCUAGUCUGUACAUAAAACAGGCAAUAUAAUUUCUCCCAGCAAUUCCUGUAUCAACCCUACAACUUCUGACUGAGUUAAAGCCAAUCUAUCAGAAAGGUAUCCAAUCUUGGUUUACAGAUUACAAGGGUAUGUCUAUGCUACAGUAUAAUCCCAGGCUCAGACUCAGGCGUAAACCCCACCUCCCUUUCUCUCUAUAGACAAAUCUCUCAGAUUUGGGCUGGGACCUAGGACCCUGUAGGGUGAAGGAUCCAAGCCCAAGUCAAGCCAGAACCCAGGGCUCAAGCUCUAUUGCUUUGCAGUGUAGAUGCAGCCCCUCUUGACUCAGGUCCUGGGAGUCUGCCAAUAGUAUCCCACUACUUCCUUUGUCCUCUCUAUCCCAAGAAUCUCCAGUCAGCUCAAGUAAAAACAGAAGCAACCCCUCAGUAGCAGCUCAGUGAGUCAGCGUUAACUCUUCCAUUCUCUUCUGACCACUGAACUGCAACCACAUCACUGGAGAGCCUUCUGUGUUCGCAAUGGAGACUGAACAGAACAAGCCUUUUGAAAAGCACACUGCUUCAUGGUCAUGGGAGCACAGCCAGACUCGCUGACAUUGUACCUGUUUUAUGAGGAGUGUAACUGGGUGCUGGGCACUGCACCAUUUCAAUUAGAGGUAGUCCAUAGGAGACAAAAAUCACUUGUCUCAACAACUGGGGUUUGAAUUUUUGACCAGAAAUGUGUUCGGGUGGGGAGGAGGAAGGCUGUGGAAUUGUGUGUGUUUACAUGCAGCCAUGAUAGGUUAAACCACAUGUAAGCUAGAGCAGCUUCUUCUCAAUUCCCUCAUGAAUUGUCACCCUCUCUUGGGUACAGAUAGCUGCAAGCUUUUCCUGAAGCAGGAACUCCAGAUCACUUUGUGGGGAAGGUCAUAUUUUCCUGCGCUACCUCAGUAGUUGACCAGCCCACUCCACUCCUAGAUAUGCUGUUCAGUCACUAUAUGUUUGACUAUUUUGGCUGCAUAUGCUGCAGGUUUCCCCCACCAGCAGCUUGGAAUAACAAAUCCCUUUGCCAAUAGGGCACCACAAGAACAGUUAAGUCCUCCAAAAUGUGGAAGGCCUGAAAUGAUAGAAACAGCUUGUAUAGCAAUGCCACUGACUGCCCUGCCCC